CAUGCAUUGGGCUUUCAUGGAUAGUUGAAGAUCCAUGUUCUUUUUGAGAGAUGUGGACACUAAUUGGUGCUCGGGCCAAACAAACAAUUUAUCCUUCCCCGAAUUAACUCUUUGUGGUUUGUGCAGCAGCAUUAUGUGUAUCGAGAUGUAUUUUAUUAAGUCUUCAUGGGUAUCUGGGACCUGGUAGAGUUAGUGGGACUUGGGAGUAGGAAUGGGAUAAAGGGGCAGCAUGAUCUUACUAUGCAGACUGUAUUUCCAGAAACCUGCUCAGCCAGCUCCUGAUGGAGAACACAUGUAGGAAGAAGUUGGUCCCACGGAAGCAGGGGAGCAAGGAGGGACAUCUUGAGUGUGCACUGAACCAGAAAUAUUUGGUUGACGUCAACAAGAAAGAUAAAGACCAGCAACGUCCAGACCCAGCAUCAUCAGGUCUCAGAAAGUGCAAGAGAGCUGGAAUUGGACACACACCAGUAAAAGAGCUUCCUGAGGAAUAAGUUGCUUUCUCAGGAGUCCCUGAUGACAAACAUCCUGAAUGAAAACACCACUUGAGAGACAACUUGAGGGACCGCCUUUCAUUAUGUGUGCUAGAGGAGAAACAGCAAUACAUCUGUG
ensembl:lncRNA